ACAUUAGACUUUCUCUGUAAAGAUUUAUUUAUAUAUUUAUGUUUAUUGUUUUACAGUGUUUUAACAUGUUUCUGUAUUUUUCAUGUUUCUGAUAUUUUGGAAUGACUGAAGAUCAGUGCAGAAUUCAAUAAUCUUGUGGAUGGACCGCAGCGAGUCCUUUUGCAGUUGAAUCCAUCAAAAUGCUAUCCAGACAUAAUGGAAAUGACAUUCACAUUGUCGAGCUUAGACAAAGUUCACCCAGUUUCGGCGCAGGAAUUCAUCAAGGACAUGGCUGUUGGGAUCACUGUUGUGGAUGACCAAUCUGAGCAGCAUCAGUCCGCAGUGCUGUGGUUCAGCCAUCCAGUGACAUUAAGGAUGUUGAGAAAGAAAUUGAAGAGGGCAUUCUGAUUGUAACUGAGGAGCAUCAAUGUGAUGUGCUUCCCAAGGAAUAACCAACAUUUCUUUCAUUUGGACAUCCUGUCAUCACUGACAUCUCCCAUGUCCCCAAGGUGUUUGGACUCCUAAUAG